UCGCCUGUUUAUCAAAAACAUCGCUGAUUAAUUAAAUAUUCAGUCAGAUCUGCCCAGUGAAAUUUUAACGGCCGCAGUAUCUUAACUGUGCUAAGGUAGCAUAAUCAUUAGUUCCUUAAUUAGGAACUCGUAUAAACGAUUCGACGAGAUUCUUACUUUCUUAAAAAUUUUUAAAAUUUCUUUAAAGGUAAAAAAGCCUUUAUAUUUCAGAUGGACGACAAGACCCUAUAAAACUUUACUCUAAAAAGAUCUAUCUUCUUCAGAUAAUUUUAACUUCUUCCUAGAGUUUUGCUGGGGCGGCAUUUUCUAACAAAAACAGAUUUUAACCAAACAAAUUAUUUGACUCUUACCAACACUUCAUGUACUUAAGACCAAGUUACUUUAGGGAUAACAGCGCAAUGUAUUUUUAGAGCCCUUAUCGACAAACACGUUUACGACCUCGAUGUUGAAUUGAAAUUUCUAAGUAAAGCAGAUCUUACUAAAGAAAGUCUGUUCGACUUAUAAUUUUUUACAUGAUUUGAGUUCAAACCGGA
rnacentral:rRNA from 1 species